GAUUUCUUUUACUCACCUGCUUGAAUACUUGAAUAAACAUCCUCCACUUUUAAUCCUUAUAUCUUUAUCCUUUUAGAUAAUAUAAUCUGAACUCUGACAAAUUGCACAGAAGCUCUUUGGCAUUAAUCUAACUUUAGCGUACUGAUAAAGACAAACAAAAACAUGGUUUUUCUUUUACUUUGACGAAGUAAUGUAAUUUUUACCUUAUUUAUCUGUAUGAAAUUCCAGCACUUAAUUUGAACAUUUAUUUAUAUGAUGUUUGUAUUUUUAGGUCUUUAAUACAGUGUUUCUACCUCCCAUUUGUAACUGCAUAUGCAUUAUUCUUGAAACUAGGUAAAACUCACUGAAUUGUUGUGUAAUAGCCUUUCUCUUAUUGCCUGUACAGAUGUAUAUUGAGGUAAAAUAAAAGUGACAAAGUGUUUCUGGGGCCAAGCUGGGUCCGUAUUACGUGGCUUGUCAAGCCAGCUCCUUCCUCAGUGAGUUUGGAGGCUUGGUCGCUCAUACCCUUUGUCCUGCCCCAAGAUUUCCGAUGCUCGGGGACUGUCAACGCAGGCUGCCAGGCAUGUAGACUACGUGAUGAGGACUCCUGUGCCUCCCUGCGGGGGUGACGAGCACUGGUAUUAGGGACACUCUAGUUUGUGUAAUUUCUUCAAGCAUACCGAGCAGUUUCAUUCACCUUCUCGUAGUUAUCAGCCGCGUUCUCUCAGUAGAUCGUCCAAGGGGCUGGGUUCCUUCUGGCCCCUCCGCCCUGUCCUUUAUCUUUUUUUCUUUUAUUUUUUUCUUUAAACAGGAUGAAACAGGUUCUCAGCAAGUAAGUGAUGUGUCUGACGUCAGGUAACUAGUGAGGUAGUUAAGCCAUGCUUUGUGACUUCCAAGUUCAUUCUUCCUCCUCUUGUAUAAUAAAGGUCCGUCUUGUGAUAGAUGCUGUGUGUGAAACCGUGAAGUCUGAACAGCAAAGAACAAACUGUAAACUCAUGAAUAACGGUUCUGAUUCUACUUCCAUUUUCAAGGCCGGUUGUUUUCAGAGAUCUUGCCUUGAUUAUAGCAAUAAUAAAUGCUUUAUGUUUCCACGAGUAUUUUUUAAUUCCGUAUCAUCUGUUUCAUACGCUAGAAAUGGGCCAGUCUACACACCCAUGGGUUGACACCCGUAUUGAAGGCAUAACGUGGGAAGUUACUGAGCACACGCAUGUAAACAGAGGCCUGCUCGGUGAAUUUGCUAACCAGCUCUUCCCGCUGGAAGAGUUUGCCUUUAUAACGGCACCUCUGUCCCGGACCUAACGGUUCCCACAGUCCACGCGCCCUUAUCCCCGCCCAGAGGAACAGUCGAGGCAGCAAUGGUCUUGUUUCUGCCGGAGCCCUGGAGAGGAGCUUCCCGGCGGGGCUGGGUCCUCCUCAGUCUCCACAGGGCCACAAGGGAGAAGCUGAGCGGGGACAUAGUGGACAUGAAGCCAUUGACUCAGGUAUCUAGGAAGGCCUUGAGGUGACAGAAGUGAUUGCAGGACGACCUCCCACGCGUGGAGUCUCUACAGACCGUCUUAAACCCUUUCUGAGAUAAAGUGCGGUGUGUGGCUCCAGGAGGGUUGCCUGCUGGUGUCGGCGACAGCGAGGAUCUGCUCGGGGAGCGUGAUGUCCUCCCUCCACCGAGAGGUGCGUUUUCGAAGCGUCUGUGCCCAUCUCCACGCGGCCCUGAGACGGUUCACCUCUGGGGCCCGGACCCGUGAAUCUUCAGCCACGGAAGCUCUCGGGACCUGCUCGCGUCUCUUCCUUGUUUAUCAAAGCCCUUGUGAGAGGACUGCCUGUGGGAGAGUGUCAAGACGGUGUUUUCCUUACCAGAGUCAGAGGGAACCGCCUCAGAACCGAUCCACCUAGAAAAGCGUGGCCCUCCGGGAAACUGACAAUCAGCCCCGAAAAUCUCCGCUUUUGCGGAGGGGGCAGAGCCAAACAGGAAGGGUCAGUGUGAAUUCAGGGACCAGACUGUGGUAGAGACAGGAACGGGGGCCGGGAGCCUGCUGUCCCCGCCGCUGCAGGCACACUGACCCCACGGAGGCCGCACAGACCAGGGCCCUGGGCGCGCAUGUCUGCCCCCUGCAAGCGGAACUCACCUAUGGGCUCCCCCUUUUCACGGGGGGUCUCUUAGCCCAGUUUUCAACGGGCCAUGUGGAUUUCGUUGUUCAGUGUGUUCCCAGGGUGCCUCCUGGGAGUGGAUCUGAGCCGAGGAGGCUGCUUCCUGGAGCCCCGCACCUGCUCCUUCCCUUGGCACAGAGGCUCCUUUGACGUCUGCACUCGGGAGACAGGCGGUGGGCCUCUCCUGGGCGAGGCUGCCUGGCGCACGGUCGUGGACCGCCCCACGCUGCGUGCCCUCCUCCGAGACAGUCCUGACCUUCCCAGAGUUUGCUUCCAUCACUAGGAGAGGCCAGCCGAGCACUUGUUUGCUGAAAGCUUCACUCUGCCUCCUCGGCAUGGUGGUCCCCCGGGUCCCAGACUCCAGCUGCCCCGUGCAGAGCUGUGUGUCCAGAGGGCAAGGGCACAGAGCUCAGAGAGUGGGGUGCGGAUGAAGCAGGUUAGCGAGCACGAAGUUCGAGCCGUUCCGGGGACAUGCGUAUCCUCAGCGAAGCUCGCUGUUGGACUGGCGGCGGUCCACGGCUCCCCGCUGUGUUGUUUUGGGGAGGGGUGGAGAACAGCCUGUGUGUGUUUGGGGCAAGGCCUGGAUUUAGGGCUCCCUGGAACCACGUUUGCUCUAGCCGGACAGCUUCUGAAAGGGCUUGCCUCCUUCCCUGGCUGGCCUGCCCCUCAAGCUGCGUUCAGACAUCCUUUAUUUACCCUUUUAGGUCAAUCUGGCAGUUAUGGUGAAGUGUUUGUAUCGAGCUAACAUUUAUUUGAUCGGCAUAUCAACCCUUACUUGCCUCAUUUUACCGAUGGAGAAACAGACUUGGAGAGUAAUCCCCGCUCCGAAAGAAAAGCCCUGAGGCCAGGACAGUGCCCGGCCAAUAGCAGACACCCAGCGAGUAUUUGUGAUGAUAAUCGUGCUGCUGGCCGAUCUAUAUGCAUUCCAUGUGCCAGCCACAGUCGUAAGAAUCUUACGUACACGAACUGAUGUCAACCUCAGAGCCGGCACCGUGAUCAAACUGCAGUACAGAGACGUUACUCAACUUGCUGAUUUCUCCCAGGCGGUUGGAAAAAAGAUCGGAGGGGGCACCAAUGGAUACAGGGACACCAACUGAAACUUACUCAAAUGAGAAUUGAAAUCAACAUGACGUAGAGACGAAUACGAUGGAGGUGUGUGUCAGGCUCCUCUGGAACCACACACCCCAGCGAAGUCCCUGGAUGCACGACGAGCCUUUAUCUCUGACUCUGCUUUUUGGAAUACCCAGGCCAACACUGUGCUUGGAACGUCCCCCAAAGAUAGAGGGCCAAGGGCUGCUCAGCAGUCCCUCCAGCACGACCUGUGGGAGAACUUUUAUACAUACCUCCUGAAGCCGGGGGAACAUUCUAGAAGGGUGUCUGAUACCUGAAAAGUCACAUGGCCAAGAGGUCAUAACUGGCCAUCAGCUGUCAAACACUUUGUAGGGCCCAGGGAUGUGCGGGAGUGUCUCGAAGGAGCUGUGUCGGCCGGGGGCCUGAUAGGAAGAGCUGGGGGCCUGCGUGGGUUGAUGUGAAGGGGACCCUGGUGGAAAAACUGGAGGUUUUCCAUCACAGGCUCAGACCAGGGGGAAGAGUACAGCUAGUCACUGGACAGAUGGAGUCUCCUGUGUCAGGCGAAGCCAGGACAGCAGACCCUGGGGUAGAUAGAGUACAGGAAGGCUCUCCAAAAUCUACCACUUGAAAGAGAAAGUUUUCGACAUCUGCCACAGCCAGAGGAACCCUCCCUCCGACUGUGCAGACAAGAAAGCUUUCCCUGACCGCUUCCCCAUCUUCACUCCUCAGCCCUGGUGAGGCCGGAGGUCACCAAGACAUGGAGGAGAAAGGGGACGAGCGAGGUGGGACAGCUGAGAAGUGACCCGUUUCCCCCCAGGGCAUCUGUAGUUGAGGGGCAGUGGGCGUGCCCAGCUCAGAAUGACCAUCGACCACAAACAACGAAGAGGAUGUGAGGAUCGCUCCGGCCUGACAUUUUCCUGACCGGCUGGACUUGGAUAGUUAGGCAAGAUCAGAGGGCACGGGAAUGUGGUGGAACUCACCCCGGAAAGACCUAGCCCCACAGAUCGGUGGGGAAAGAGGAAGAGUGGGUUUUCAGCAGCACAGCAUGAGACCGCCCCCCGGUCCACUGUGUGGACCACCUGGUGGGUGGCCUCCCAUCUGCUGGAAGAAACGUGGUGGGAAUGUGGGAUCCCGGACCCCUCGCGCCCUGCCAGUGGCGACGUGAACUGGUGCAGCCACUGUGAAACACAAUAUGGCAGCUGCUCAAAAAAUGAAACAUAGACUCGCUGGACGGCCCAGGAAUUCCACUUCUGGGUACGCACCCCAACGAAUUAAAAGCAGAGACAUGAAAAGAUGAUUUCUAGGCCGGUGUUCGCAGCAGCAUUAAUCACAGUGGCUAAGGCAUGGAAGUGCCCCACGCGUCCAGCGAUGGAUGAAUGGGUACAGUGGUACACUGGAGUGUGUUCAAUCUUAAAGGGGAAGGAAACUGACACCUGCUAAGACAUGGCUAAACCUUGAGCACAACAUGCUGGCUGGAAUCACCCAGUCACGAAAGGACAGAUACUACAUUAUUCCACCCGGGACGGAGUGUCAGAUCUGCGGGACGAAGAGUUCUGGAGAUGGAGGGGGGUGACAGUGACACAACAGAGCCACAGAAUGUACCCUUGAAAUGGUUAAGAUGAUAAAUUUUAUGUCCGGCGUAUUUACCGGUUGCACCCCCCCCCCCCACCGCCCCGCCGGGGGUGCGUGUACCUGGAGAACUAGGGUGUUUGUUUGUCUGAGCUGGUCCCAGACAGGCACCAUCAGUUGUGAGAACAAAACUUACCUUUUCCUAUUGUCCUAGUUUUCACAGUAAAAGUAAAUAGGUAAAAGUCUGAAGGAGGCGCGUGAUAGUGGGAGGCAACAUUGGAGCGGAAGGGAGGCCAGUGCAGUGAGAUCCAAGAACAGAGAGGCCCUGGGGCUGAGCGGUAAGUGACCACAGUGAGGGGGACAGAGCCAGAUCCCCAUGCAGUGGCCCAGGGUUUUGGAAAUGGGACUGCACAGGAGCGGGGGAGUGGAUUUGUGAGGGAGAGAAGACUGAUGUGGUCUGGAACCCCCCAUGAGGGGUCCAGAGGAGCCCUGCCCACUCCUGGAGCCUGAGGUCAGGGACUCAGGAGGAAAAACUGCCCCCGGGGAGGACCCCAGAGGCCACAUUCCUUGUCCUUAGGGACAAACCGGAUUUCCAGUUCAGCCAGGGAGGAGCGGAGCUGUGCUUUCCAGAA